rnacentral:rRNA from 1 species
GAUGAACGCUGGCGGCGUGCCUAACACAUGCAAGUCGAACGAAGCACCUUAAAGUUUUCGGACGGAGAGGUGACUGAGUGGCGGACGGGUGAGUAACGCGUGGGUAACCUGCCUCAUACAGGGGGAUAACAGUUAGAAAUGACUGCUAAUACCGCAUAAGCGCACGGAUCUGCAUGGAUCAGUGUGAAAAACUCCGGUGGUAUGAGAUGGACCCGCGUCUGAUUAGCUAGUUGGUGAGGUAACGGCCCACCAAGGCGACGAUCAGUAGCCGACCUGAGAGGGUGACCGGCCACAUUGGGACUGAGACACGGCCCAA